CAAAAUCCAAGGCUCUGAAGGCUAAAAAGGCCAUCUUGAAAGGAGUCCACAGUCACAAGAAGAAGGAAAUCAGGACAUCUCCCACCUUCAGGAGGCCCAAAACUUUACGAUUAUGGAGACAGCCCAAAUAUCCUAGGAGGAGUGAUCCUCGGAGGAACAAGCUUGACCACUAUGACAUUAUCAAGUUCCCCCUGACCACAGACUCACCAUGAAGAAGAUAGAGGAUAACAACACUGGUCUUCAUUGUAGAUGUCAAGGUCAACAAACAUCAGAUCAAGCAGGCUGUCAAGAAACUGUAUGAUAUUGAUGUGGCCAAGGUCAACCCAUUGAUCUGGCCCAAUGGUGAGAAGAAGGCUUAUGUCCGUCUUGCUCCAGACUGUGGUGCAUUGGAUGUAGCCAACACGAUUGGAAUAAUCUAAAGUGCAUCCAUCAAGAGCUGGGCAGAUGAGAUAACAAACUUUGUAAAACC